UCCUAGCCCUGCUUAACUCGCAAGCAUUUGCAAACACGCCGCGCAGGAAAGCAAGGUUGUCUUCCAGGAUUUCAGUCUGUAGCCCAUGGGCUUUUCUUUGAUACCGAGAAAUUUGUCAUCUUUAACAUCUGGUUAAAGGAACAACAGAAAGGAACAACAGACAGUCUUAUCCAGAAAGCCAGGAGCUCAAGUUUGAAGUGGCUGAGAUGGCUCAGAGCUGAAGAUACCACUCUCUUCACUUCAUACAACAUCCAUAUCCUCCCCUCAUUUUUGGUCCCAUCUUGAAUUAUGACAUUUUCUCUGCCUGCAUGAUUUUCUGACUCUAUGAAGUGUUUUUGUACAUUCUUUUAGCUUAAGCAAUCCUCAAGAGGGGUAACAUUCUUCCAGGCUUGUACAGCACUUGAAGUUGCAUCUCUAUACCUGCUCUUUAAACUGAACACACUUUAAUAUGUCAUUUGAUCUUCAGAGGGUCACUUUACGUUAAUCUGGAGGGAAAGGAGAACCAUCUCCAUCUCUGGAAUUUUCAGGACUCUGCUGUGGCUGAUCCUAUCUAAUGACAGCAAUAGUCCUACUUCACAUUAGAAGUUGGGCCAGAAGUACUUUUAAUCCAUAUCUCUAACCCCAUAAAUAUGAGUGUGCUUCAUUCAGUGAAAGAUUUUUAUUUUUCUCUUGAUCAAAAAGUCCCCCCCCAUCCAGCAAGUCAAAGA
rnacentral:lncRNA from 1 species